rnacentral:rRNA from 1 species
AUUGAACGCUGGCGGCAUGCCUUACACAUGCAAGUCGAACGGCAGCACGGGUGCUUGCACCUGGUGGCGAGUGGCGAACGGGUGAGUAAUACAUCGGAACGUACCUUAUCGUGGGGGAUAACGCAGCGAAAGCUGUGCUAAUACCGCAUACGCCCUGAGGGGGAAAGGGGGGGAUCGCAAGACCUCGCAAUAUUGGAGCGGCCGCUAUCGGAUUAGCUAGUUGGUGAGGUAAAGGCUCACCAAGGCGACGAUCCGUAGCUGGUUUGAGAGGACGACCAGCAACACUGGGACUGAGACACGGCCCAGACUCCUACGGGAGGCAGCAGUGGGGAAUUUUGGACAAUGGGGGCAACCCUGAUCCAGCCAUUCCGCGUGUGCGAUGAAGGCCUUCGGGUUGUAAAGCACUUUUGGCAGGAAAGAAAUCGCACGGAUUAAUACUCUGUGUGGAUGACGGUACCUGCAGAAUAAGCACCGGCUAACUACGUGCCAGCAGCCGCCGUAA